GUUAAAGAGAAAGUGCUGACCUGCAUUGGAGGAGGAAGUUUCUCACCCAGGCAGUUUCCUGUGCCAGUGAAAUCACAAAUCUUGACCCUCUUGGUGAUUCAAGAAGAUCUCUUUUCCCUCCAUCAGUCUUGACUUGCCGAAGAAAACACUUCUUUUAAAUCUACAUCUCCAUCCAAGUCAUUGAUAAAAGUCUUGAACAGAAUAGGACAGCUUUGUGGAGUUCUACUACAGACCUUCCUGAUGGCUGAACUUGAUCUAUUCAUCAUUACUUUGGGAUGGGUGUGGUCUGCUAAAUUAAUCAACUAACUGUAGCCACCUAACAAAGGUAUCAACUAUUUCACUGAAUUCAGAUACUGAAGAGUCUUCCCUUCCAUGUCUUUGAUAUUCCAUUCUAGUUGGGUUCCGCACCCCCUCCACUGCUAGGUGGCAAAAUGGAUAGAGUGCCUGGAGUAAGGAAGACUCAU